rnacentral:tRNA from 1 species
GGCAGGGUAGCUCAGCUGGCUAGAGCGCACGACUCAUAAUCGUGAGGUCGGGAGUUCGAGUCUCCCUCCUGCUA